rnacentral:rRNA from 1 species
UACAGAGGGUGCGAGCGUUAAUCGGAAUUACUGGGCGUAAAGCGUGCGUAGACGGUUAUUUAAGUCGGAUGUGAAAGCCCCGGGCUCAACCUGGGAAUUGCAUUCGAGACUGAAUAGCUAGGGUGCGGUAGGAGGGAAGCGGAAUUUCCGGUGUAGCGGUGAAAUGCGUAGAUAAUCGGAAGGAACAUCAGUGGCGAAAAGCGGCU